CCGGCGGCUGCUGCACCGGGCGGCGGCCCUCCGCGGGCUGCGGGUGGAGCUGCCGGGCGGGCGGGUGCUGCGGCCCGCGCCGCCGGG
rnacentral:tRNA from 1 species